GGUUGAUCCUGCCGGAGGUUACUGCUAUUGGAAUCCGAUUAAGCCAUGCGAGUCGAUCGGGUCAGACCCGAGGCGCACUGCUCAGUAACACGUGGAGAAUCUGCCCUUAGGUGAGGAAUAACCUCGGGAAACUGAGAAUAAUACCUCAUAGGUUAUGGAUGCUGGAAUGCUUCAUAGCCCAAAGCCCCGGCGCCUAAGGAUAAAUCUGCGGACUAUCAGGUAGUAGUCAGGGUAAGGACCUGACUAGCCUACGACGGAUACGGGGUGUGAGAGCACUAGCCCGGAGAUGGAUUCUGAGACACGAAUCCAGGCCCUACGGGGUGCAGCAGGCGCGAAACUUCCGCAAUGCUCGCCAGAGUGACGGAGGGAUUCCAAGUGCCUAUGCUAUGCGUAGGCUGUU
rnacentral:rRNA from 1 species